rnacentral:rRNA from 1 species
UACGGAGGGAGCUAGCGUUGUUCGGAAUUACUGGGCGUAAAGCGCACGUAGGCGGCUUUGUAAGUUAGAGGUGAAAGCCCGGAGCUCAACUCCGGAACUGCCUUUAAGACUGCAUCGCUUGAAUCCAGGAGAGGUGAGUGGAAUUCCGAGUGUAGAGGUGAAAUUCGUAGAUAUUCGCAAGAACACCAGUGGCGAAGGCGGCUCACUGGCCCGGUACUGACACUGAGGUGCGAAAGCGUGGGGAGCAAACAGG